rnacentral:rRNA from 1 species
AAUCAACGCUGGCGGCGUGCCUCAGACAUGCAAGUCGAACGCGAAAUUUCCCUUCGGGGAGAAAGUAGAGUGGCGCACGGGUGAGUAACACGUAGGUAAUUUGCCUUUGGGUGGGGAAUAACUCAGGGAAACUUGAGCUAAUACCGCAUAAUGCAGCGGCUCGACAUCGAGACAGUUGUUAAAGCGGGGGAGUCGCAAGACCUCGCGCCUAAAGAGAAGCCUGCGGCAGAUUAGCUAGUUGGUAGGGUAAUGGCCUACCAAGGCAACGAUCUGUAACCGGCCUGAGAGGGCGGUCGGUCACACUGACACUGACAUACGGGUCAGACUCCUACGGGAGGCAGCAGUCGGGAAUUUUGGGCAAUGGGCGAAAGCCUGACCCAGCAACGCCGCGUGAAGGAUGAAAUCCCUCGGGAUGUAAACUUCGCAAGAACGGGAAGAAUAAGUAGAAGAUAAUACCUUCUAUGAU